GUUUGUGAACGGUGUAUGCUGUCAUCAAUAUUAUCUCAUUAUGGCGCCUCAAUGUCAAAAUAAAUCUAUAUGUAAUUAUAUUUGUUAGUUUCUUUUGAUACGGAGGUAGUGGUAUCUGGCUAUAAGACCCGUUAGUUCUAUUCGUAUUGCUGGUGGUCUCGAGUCGGGAUAAUGGUGCAUGAAACAACGGAAUAGAACCUCGGUUUUAUUUUGUUGGUUUCGGAGCGCGAGAUAAUGAUUAAGAGGGACAAACGGGGGCAUUCGUACUGUGCCGUCAGCGGUGAAUUUCUUGGUUCGGCGCAAGACGAACGACUGCAAAAGCAUUUGCCAAGAAUGUUUUCUUUAUUCAAGAGC
rnacentral:ncRNA from 1 species